rnacentral:rRNA from 1 species
AACCUUUACACUGCACGCCAGUGCGAUAAGGGGACUCCAAGUGCGAGGGCAUAUAGUCCUCGCUUUUCUGGACCGUAAGGGGGUCCAGGAACAAGGGCUGGGCAAGACCGGUGCCAGCCGCCGCGGUAAUACUGGCAGCCCAAGUGAUGGCCGCUCUUAUUGGGCCUAAAGCGUCCGUAGCUGGCCAGGCAAGUCCGUCGGGAAAUCCGCACGCCCAACGUGCGGGCGUCCGGUGGAAACUGCCUGGCUUGGGACCGGAAGACCUGAGGGGUACGUCCGGGGUAGGAGUGAAAUCCCGUAAUCCUGGACGGACCACCGGUGGCGAAAGCGCCUCAGGAAGACGGAUCCGACGGUGAGGGACGAAAGCUCGGGUCACGAACCGGAUUAGAUACCCGGGUAGUCCGAGCUGUAAACGAUGUCUGCUAGGUGUGACACAGGCUACGAGCCUGUGUUGUGCCGUAGGGAAGCCGUGAAGCAGACCGCCUGGGAAGUACGUCCGCAAGGAUGAAACUUAA